GAAUGAGGGAGGGGAGGAGUGACUAGUGACAGAGUGAGGGAGGGGGUGACUAGUGACAGAGUGAGGGAGGGGGUGACUGUCACUAGUCACCCCCUCCCUCACUCUGUCCCUAGUCACCCCUUCCCUCCCUAACUGU